UACGUAGGGACCGAGCGUUGUCCGGAAUCAUUGGGCGUAAAGAGCUCGUAGGUGGUUUGUCGCGUUGUUCGUGAAAACUCACAGCUUAACUGUGGGCGUGCGGGCGAUACGGGCAGACUGGAGUACUGCAGGGGAGACUGGAAUUCCUGGUGUAGCGGUGGAAUGCGCAGAUAUCAGGAGGAACACCGGUGGCGAAGGCGGGUCUCUGGGCAGUAACUGACGCUGAGGAGCGAAAGCGUGGGGAGCGAACAGG
rnacentral:rRNA from 1 species